rnacentral:rRNA from 1 species
UCCGUAGGUGAACCUGCGGAAGGAUCAUUACAGAGUUCCUGCCCGAAAGGGUAGAAACCCCACCCUUGUGUAUGUUAUACUUGUUGCUUUGACAGGCCGCCUUCGGGUCAUGGCUUCGGCUAUGCUGUGCCUGUCAGAGAACCCCCAACUCUGAAUGUUAGUGUCGUCUGAGUACUAUAUAAUAGUUAAAACUUUCAACAACGGAUCUCUUGGUUCUGGCAUCGAUGAAGAACGCAGCGAAAUGCGAUAAGUAAUGUGAAUUGCAGAAUUCAGUGAAUCAUCGAAUCUUUGAACGCACAUUGCGCCCCUUGGUAUUCCGAGGGGCAUGCCUGUUCGAGCGUCAUUAGCACCAACUCCUACCUAGUGUAGGGUCUUGGGCUUCGUCUCCGGGCGGGCCUCAAAAUCAGUGGCGGCGCCCUCUGGCUCUAAGCGUAGUAAAUCUCCUCGCUAUGGAACCCAGAAGGUUGUCUUGCCAGUAACCCCAAAUUUUUUAGGGUUGACCUCGGAUCAGGUAGGGAUACCCGCUGAACUUAAGCAUAUCAAUA